rnacentral:rRNA from 1 species
UACGGAAGGUCCGGGCGUUAUCCGGAUUUAUUGGGUUUAAAGGGAGCGCAGGCGGACCUUUAAGUCAGCUGUGAAAUACGGCGGCUCAACCGUCGAACUGCAGUUGAUACUGGAGGUCUUGAGUGCACACAGGGAUGCUGGAAUUCAUGGUGUAGCGGUGAAAUGCUCAGAUAUCAUGAAGAACUCCGAUCGCGAAGGCAGGCAUCCGGGGUGCAACUGACGCUGAGGCUCGAAAGUGCGGGUAUCAAACAGG